rnacentral:misc_RNA from 1 species
CUCAAGUUUAAGUUGAACUUCUUGUUUGGACAGUCUGGAUCUCUCUCAGACUGGGCUUUAGGCUUCUAGGUUUUCGUCCAGAAUAUGUUAUUGGCAAAACCAAAAUCAACAGUAGUGUUGUCCUCUUUGCCACCAACACAAUGUUAGGGCUGUACUCUUUGCUAUCUGCAGAUCCUAGUCCAGGUUGUACAAAUACUGGAC